UACGUAGGGCGCAAGCGUUUAUCCGGAAUUAUUGGGCGUAAAGAGCUCGUAGGCGGUUUGUCGCGUCUGCCGUGAAAGUCCGGGGCUCAACUCCGGAUCUGCGGUGGGUACGGGCAGACUAGAGUGAUGUAGGGGAGAAUGGAAUUCCCGGUGUAGCGGUGAAAUGCGCAGAUAUCGGGAGGAACACCGGUGGCGAAGGCGGUUCUCUGGGCCUUACCUGACGCUGAGGAGCGAAAGCGUGGGGAGCGAACGGG
rnacentral:rRNA from 1 species